ACGUGCGAAGAGAGCGGCAUAGGUCUUCCUCCGCGUCCCUUAAGGCUUCUCCAGAGUUCCAGGGGCGCUUGGGCUUCUUCUUCCCAGGAUUUUUGUUGGGGGCGGCAACGAUUCGAAUGCCCAGCGCCAGCCGCUUUAAUAAUAACCCCACUUAUUAAUAACAAUACUCAUAAAAAGUUGGUGGAACCGGCUCAGCCCUUUGGAUCGCGAGGGGUGGAUUGGUGGUUAAUAUUGUGUCUGGCGGACAAAUCUGGAGGAGGAAGAAAAAUCGUCCCAGAAAAGCAUCUCGCGUCUAGUUAUGCAAACCUGGGCCUCUAGCGUCUAGCAAUCUCCUUUCGGCCGGGUGUUAGUAAAAGAAUAGGAAAUCACCACCCGGCUGAGCGGAAGAACGUUUCCUAAUGGAGGGAAACAAGACGCCAAGUCCAAUAAAUAAUAGAUAUAUUUGAAAAAGUGGAGAGGAUCAGCUUGCGGCUAGACAGCCAAGAAUGUCUAACAAGCUCAGAAGGUGGCCUUGAGCUCUUCUUCAGAAUGCUCCGGAUUCCAAGAGGCACUAGACUGAAACAAGGCAACACAAAAAGGAUAGUGGUUCAUAAAGUUAUGCAUGGCAUGAAGAAAGAGAGAAGCCUUACCCCCCACCGAUCUCUUAAUACUAGAACCCGGGGUCAUGAUCCAACAAAGCUGAAGAGUGGGAGAUUGAGGACAAAGGAAAGAAAGUACUACUUCACCUACAAAGUUAAAACUAUGGAAUCUGCUACCACAAGAUGAUAGAGAUGCAGUUGCCAGAGGUGAAUGUAGCUUCUUAAGGGCGAAGCUCCUCAAAAUGUACUUGUGAUCUACCAUGCCGGGUGAGAGACUCAUAUCACUGGCAAUCCCAUCUAUCAAGAGUGACAUCUCCUGAAACCUGUUUUUCUUGGCCUGUCUGCUGCAGCUUGCACAAACCAAAGCUUGCAGUGCUGCAUUCUGAACAGAGGCAUUGCACUAGGGCAGGUGUGAGGAACCUUUGGCUCGCCACAUGUUGCUAAACUAUAACUCUCAUUAGCCCCAGCAGGUAUGGCCAAUGGCCAGACAUGUUGGGAAUUACAUUUCAGCAGCAUCUGGAGGGUCACAGGUUCCCCAUACCUGCUUGAGGGCAAGAUGGUGGAACGCUGCAUAUUUUACUUUUAACUUUUUGUUUUGUUUUGUAGCAAAUAACCUUUGGAAAACAUUUUUUUAUUUUAGGAAAUCCAUUACCCAAGAUAUUUUCUCUGCAUUAUUUAAAAGUUAUCCAAUUUUUCUGCCAUCUCAUCUGGGUUAUGCUGAUGUGUAAGUUAACUGCUGUUUAUGAUUUUAGACAAGGUAGACUGACAGCCUUAACAAAGCUUGUUUUUGAAAUGUAACAGUUUUAUUAUUAUUAUUAUUAUUAAUAAUAAUAAUAAUAACAUUGAUAUUUAAACCAAAGAUACCAUUCUUUAUCACUUCAGCAGGGUAUUUUGGAUUUGUUAUAUUAUAUCUAACUUUGUAAC